rnacentral:misc_RNA from 1 species
AAGUCGUAACAAGGUUUCCGUAGGUGAACCUGCGGAAGGAUCAUUAACACGUAUCCACGUUUCAUACAACUUAUCAACAAACUCGACGAACUGAACUCCCUGCUGAAUAAAACUGCGGUGUCGUAAUCCUGUCUUGGUGGGUCCCAGUAAACAUGUAGUUGUUAUAGACUUGUGUUAAGCUGAAGGCUGGCAGGCAUCGACUAUCACACUUCGACUGUGAGCCAAAACAAUUUCAGUCAGGCUUACUUACUCUACUCUCGCGUGUAGUUACUACAAUCCUUACCAUCAUAAGGCCGAGUUUAGAACCCCAUACCAAUUUCACCCUUCUUUACCCAUUUGACUAAUUACUAUAUUCUUAGGAGAAAUCCUUUGAAUUACUAAGAUUUAUCUUAACUAAGCACAACUCUUAGCAAUGGAUAUCUUGGUUCUC